rnacentral:lncRNA from 1 species
CUACCAUCACCUCCUGCUGCUGCUCCCAGCACACCAGCCUGUGUGUUUCUUGUCAGCCUUUGGCUUUCCCUCCACUUUCUAAAGCAGUUGUCAUGCUGCCUUGAAGGCCCUUGCAUCCUGUGUUCUGCCUGACACAGGUUCUCCUUGGCAAGUGUUCGUGCACUGCAAAAUGGUUUCGCACCACGUGGCCACCCUGACAUCUCUUCUGCUCCCAAUUUGGAGCUGGUUUUCUUGCAGGAGUUGUCUUCUCAGAGGUGCUAUGGGUCGCAGCAUGGAAAAACCAAACCAACAGCUCUGUCCUGAAGACCUACUUGUUGACUGGGAACCCGGAUGGAGAUAUGCCAGUACCUGCACCCCACACCUUGGCUCAGGACUGAAGCUUAAAUGUAAAGAAGGCUCCAACUGAAACUCAUUCCUGAUUCAGGCUUGGCGUGGUGGACAGAAAUGCCUGGUGCAUCUCCACAAAUCCCUGGAGAUAUUGAGUCUUUUUGGGCCCAGACAUGGAGGGACUCUGUUCCUUGCAAGAAAAGCAGUUGCAUGGCAAAGAGCUUUCACGCCGGGCGAAUGGAGGAGUCACCAUCUCAGCUGAUGGACGUUCCAUGCAGCCUGGAGCUGAAGAAACAGACUGAAGCACAAAAAGGAUCACGGACUAUAGAUCUGCACCUCUUACAAGGUCUGUCAUCGUGAAACUCUCUGUAAUUUUCUUUCCCUGCCCCCCACCCCAGCAAAAACUUGUCCAAAAGCUGGUGUGAGAUGGACG